rnacentral:misc_RNA from 1 species
GAUGAAGACGUAGCGAAAUGCGAUAAGUAAUGUGAAUUGCAGAAUUCAGUGAAUCAUCGAAUCUUUGAACGCACAUUGCGCCCGCCAGUAUUCUGGCGGGCAUGCCUGUCCGAGCGUCAUUUCAACCCUCGAACCCCUCCGGGGGGUCGGCGUUGGGGAUCGGCCCUUUCACCGGGUGCCGUCCCCCAAAUACAGUGGCGGUCUCGCCGCAGCCUCUCAUGCGCAGUAGUUUGCACACUCGCACCGGGAGCGCGGCGCGUCCACGUCCGUAAAACACCCCAAACUUCUGAAAUGUUGACCUCGGAUCAGGUAGGAAUACCCGCUGAACUUAAGCAUAUCAAUAAGCGGAGGA